rnacentral:snoRNA from 1 species
UACAAUGUUUUUCAACUAGACGCCCAGAGUCACGGUUUGUACGGGAUGAAAUAAGCCAGUGGACCUAUACUUUUUAUUCGUAAAAUAGUACAGUAGGGUACUAGCUACUCUACUGUCGUGCUCGCGGCAGAUCUUAGAUUAAUUUUUAUUUUAAUUUCAUCUAAUGAAAUUUUAAUGAGGAGUCUGAAAAGUAUCUACACUAGAACUGUGAAUUAAUAUAAGUUAUGAUUAGAUAUUUCUUCAUGCACAUUU